GACCUCGUAGCUCAGCUGGUAGAGCAUGCGCGUACAAAGCGUAGGCGGUGUCCAUGCGUGGGUUCGAAUCCCACCGAGGCUA
rfam:Echinostoma caproni strain Egypt genome assembly, scaffold: ECPE_scaffold0012514